UUAGGAAUUAAAAAUGAUCACUCCAAGCUCUUGGAAAGCUGAGAGAUCACUACAAGCCUAGCCAUUAGCUAGCUUUGAUUCGCAAUCCCACAUUUUACAUUCAGCUAUACAUGUACAGGACGUCUGUGCUGAGAAUGUGAAAGAUAAGAUUCAAAGAAAAAUAGUGGAGAUAAUUAGGAAUGGCUGAUCAGCAUCACUCAGUGCACCAUGCCCCAGGAGUGAAGAGGGAUGGAAAAUAAAGACCAAGAAAGAAGACUGAGACAGUGUUUGAGAGAAGAAUUCCUUAAUCAGUCUACAGGGAGUGAGAAAGAUGACAAGUGGAGGGGACGUUCUCUCAACCAGCAGGGAAAAUGAAGCUUUCAACAUCGACUGCUUUGCUUACAGUUGGAAUAAACUCACAACUGGGUGAGGACAAGGACCAUAGACCUUCCACUGGGGUUUCCUGUACUCAGCCUCACCAGGUAACAGUCAGCCAUGAAAGAGAAAGAUCAGAUGAGUGGUUUGUCUUUUAAAGACAUGGAUUAAGUAUCCGAGUACAUUCCGUCUUGGAAGGGAGCCUAUCUGUGGAUGCAUAGUCCCUACAUUAUUCUCAUUGCUUUGUCAGCUCGCAAAUGCUUCUAAGUAAAAUGCCAUCUAUUAGUGCCCCUGAGAGUCAUCAGUGUGCACUCAGCAUAUCAUCACUGAGUACUUAAUUAUGAACAUCAGCCUCUUACUUCACGUUUGAAAAUACUAAUUGCAGUGUAAGUGCACCUGCAAUGAAUAUGUCCCUUCAGCAGACAGUGUAUUCCUUAAUGACUGGCUAUCGAACCAGAAUUUCGGGCUUUGUCGCAUGGAGACAAGUAUAUAACACUGUUUGUUUUGGAAGUGCAUAAUUAAACUGUUAGACUGUAGUGUUUUGUGGAAUAGAUGGGCUGUGGCAAACAUUGAUUGCUGGAAGAAACUGGGCCUUUUAGAAGCCAUGCUGCCUUGGAUUUCAUUUUUAUACCUUGAUCCAUCCCUAGUUCCUUGACCAGAGAUCAGUUUUCUAUUUGUUGAUCAUUAUUAAUAAAUCAGACCACUUCUCUGACUAAAAGACUCU